UACGUAGGGGGCGAGCGUUUGUCCGGAAUCAUUGGGCGUAAAGCGCGUGUAGGCGGCUCGGUAAGUCUGCUGUGAAAGUCCAGGGCUCAACCCUGGGAUGCCGGUGGAUACUGUCGAGCUCGAGUCCGGAAGAGGCGAGCGGAAUUUCCGGUGUAGCGGUGAAAUGCGUAGAUAUCGGAAGGAACACCAGUGGCGAAAGCGGACUUCCUGGUCCAGCACCGACGUCAGGCACGAAAGCGUGGGGAGCAAACAGGG
rnacentral:rRNA from 1 species